AAAAAAAAAAAAAAAAAAAAAAAAAAAAAAACAAAAAAAAACUCCCGCGAAGAACUGCACCGUAAGACCGUAAAAACCGCAAUAAAUAACCGAAUAUUGUAUAUUGUUAUGUACUACUUGCAAAACAAUAGUGAAACCCAAGCAUAAAAACGGCCGUGGCGAGGGUUUAGUGUCGAAAUCCCCGAGAGCCACGCGCUUCGGCACUACACAUGACGCCGCGCGCGCGCAAAAUCGCAUCCUCCCGGCUUCAUUUGUGGGGGGUCUACAGGGGCGUUCGGAGCUGAUAAAAACCAUCCUCCUACCGCAAUGAAACAAAACUCCGGUUUCUCAGUUUGGACCGUAACGUUGUACACACAAUGCACUGUAUAUGAAAGACGCACCGCAGCCAGUGCGGUCACUGUUUUUAGAGAAAAUUUUACGAUAAAUUAAUUGGGAACCGUAUAGAUUAUCGAAUGCGAUCGUUGAUAAAUGCACGUGAAAGAUUUCGGCGGCGGUGUUGUUUUCGUCAAAUAAAUCGUGGCGAAGCCGUUAAUCGCAGGUUGACGGACAGAGGCCACCCGGGUAACAGAAACCGCUGUUAACCGAUCGCGUAGUUUUAUUAUAAUGACGGUGACGGUGCGAAAGUAUUUUUCGACUUGUAUUUCGGUUUCCGAACACAAACUCCGCGGUCCGAGAAACGAGCGAGUUGAAACAAAAAUUAGCGUCUACGUUAAUUAUUAUUCUUACGCACGCGCGGACGUGGUGACAGUUGUGUGUAGGCAGUGCGGGUUCGCGGUG